UGAACGCUGGCGGCGUGCUUAACACAUGCAAGUCGAGCGAGAACGUUGCCUUCGGGCGACUAGUAAAGCGGCGAACGGGUGAGUAACACGUGGGUAACCUGCCAUGGAGUGGGGGAUAACCUGGGGAAACUUGGGCUAAUACCGCAUACGACCUCAGCACUGCGGUGCUGAGAGGAAAGCUAGCCAAUUCUUGAAAGCUAGCGCUCUUUGAGGGGCCCGCGCCCGAUUAGCUUGUUGGUGAGGUAACGGCUCACCAAGGCGGUGAUCGGUAGCCGGCCUGAGAGGGCGAUCGGCCACACUGGGACUGAGACACGGCCCAGACUCCUACGGGAGGCAGCAGUGGGGAAUAUUGGACAAUGGGCGCAAGCCUGAUCCAGCAACGCCGCGUGGAGGACGAAGGCCUUCGGGUCGUAAACUCCUGUCAGUUGGGACGAAAAGUCGUCGGUCAAUAGCCGGCGAUCAUGACGGUACCAGCAGAGGAAGCCCCGGCUAACUCC
rnacentral:rRNA from 1 species